rnacentral:lncRNA from 1 species
CCGUUAUUCAAGCUAAGAAACCUAAGUCUCAUUAUAGAUCCAAGCACAUCCUCAGAUGCUUCCAUCUCAUUAGAGAUAAGAUGUUGUCCUUGAAUGAGUAGACAGAAAGAAUAAUAUAACAGACCCAUUCACUAAGGCCAUACCAAAGUAGCUAUAUAAUCACCAUCUUGAUUUUAUGAGAUAUAAAGGUGAUUGGCUUUAGUACAAGU